rnacentral:RNase_MRP_RNA from 2 species
UUGUACAUCAACAAGAAUUGCUUCGAAGUAUACAAAUGGAUCGCUGUUGAAAGCGAUAGUGUGAACGUCGGUGCACACACGAUCCAGCAUACCAUCCCAAACCACUGCAACCUCUGUAACAGCUGCUUGGCAGAGAAAGAGAAGAACGACGUCGACGGCCAAGUUGUGGUGGGGUAUCAGUUGGACGCACCGAGCACAUCAAUAUUCUCACUUUGGGGAAAGUCCCCGGACCCUAGGAUAGAAAGUAUCGCCUGUCAAAAGGUACGAACGGACCAACGUGUAGACCUGGCUGAGAAGACAUCCCUGAUCGGUUUGUUGGAGCUCCUGCACAGUCUGAUUCCUCUGGUCGAAGCUUAGGUAGAUGCAAUUAGUAUCAUCCACUCGAUGGUAUACGACCUUAAUGGGGCUCACUCCUUGAUGUACC